rnacentral:lncRNA from 1 species
CCUUUGUUUCCAUGGUGAUUUUUACAUGCAUUUCAGUCGAGGACCAUUGUGCUGAGACACACUGAGAAUCUUCUCCUUGUGAGAGCUCCCUAGAUUGAUUUCAAACAACAGUGCUCACCAGGAGCGCAAGCUGAAUUCUAAAUAAUGACAUCAAGACUUUGAGUAGCAGAGGGAGCUGUCAUGGAAUGGCCAACAAAAAGAAAAAAGAACACCAUUACGAGAGAGAAGGCUUAAUGGAAUUUUUGAAAGCGUAGAUGAAACCACUCUAGAUUGCUCUAGAUUGCUCUGAUUUGGUAUGUGAGUGAACACCGGACAGGAGACUGAGCAGGGCUUAUGCAUGGACACUGCUGGACACUGCUGCAUCUGUUCCAUCCAUGAGAUCAGACAAACCAUCUAAAAGAUUUAUCUGUUUCCUUGUGAGUGAGUCAGUUUGCUCCUGCUUUCAUCAUCUCAUGUGGUCAGAAGACAACACAUCACAGAAGGUCAGGAAUGGAAAGUUAGGCAUCACAGAGAUGAGACCCCAUGAUCAUGAUCGUGUGCUGCUCACUUUCCCCUCUGGAGCCAAUUUGCAUGAACCCAGUGUUCCAACUAGGGUGGCUGAGCAGACAAAAGAUGUGAUUUUCGCUGCGCUUGAUCUUAUUCAUCUUUGACGCAAUGGCACCCGGGGGAAUUCUGGUUGCCAAGAACAUUAGAAGAGACACAGCAUUUUUCUUGGGUAGCUCAAGGUCACUCUCUGUAACGUCAGAGGAGGCAGCUCCUGGGAUCAUGGAGUCGAACAGUGACAAUUAUGUUUCCCAACAGAUGUCAGUGUCCUUAAUCUGCCCGCUGUGAGUGAAGCA